UUUGGUUCUUGAAUGGAAAAGCAGAGAACUGAUCCUGAGAGUUAAUCAGAUGUCUUUCCAGAAGGCUGGGCUCACUCUACCUCUCUUCCCCCAGCCAGCCCUCUCUAUCCUCAUGCUGUGUCCACUGUCCUGCCUUCGUAUGCAUGCCGCCCUCCGGUGUUCAUGCCCAUGGUCCUAGACAUUGGGAAGGUCUCUCAGAAGCUGUGACCAGCGUCUAUUAGUCCCUGGUCUUGCUGUGACUUGCUCCCAGAUGCGUUGCUGUGUCCAAAUCCAAAACCAUGGAAUCCCAACUUGGUAGACUGUAUGAGCUCUGGACUCAACUCUGCUGGUAUCCAGAUGUUACCCGUUGGAUUCAUUAAAUGCCGCCACACAUCACCGUGAAGAGGAAACAAAAACCAGGCAGAGACUUGGAGGUUUGAGGAGAGCCACACCCACCCCACCCUCUUCUCUUGGGUUCCCUGUAGGCACAGCCUGCCUCUGGGGAGCCGUAAUGGGGAGUGUUGUCCCAGCCGCCAUGACCCUCCAUUAUGUUUAAGUAGCUGCAGCCUGUAGCCGGAACAAAAGACAAAUGAAAACUUUCUCUGCCUGACAUUGAAAAAAUUAUUGGCAUGUCAUAUGGUAAUUCAUUAAAGAAUUCUCA